ACCAGGAGUCCACAGAUCCACUGGGUCGAUUAUAUGCAUUUGCCUAAAGAACACUUCUGAUGCUCUGCUCUCACCCUACCAGGAAUGGUCUCAAAUCUGUCUUCUGCUCUUCAUCCAUGCUUUCUCCACACACUUUUUCUUUUCAUUUUCCUUCUUCUUAUAUGUUUGCUGCCUCCCUGCGUCUCCCUAGAAUUCAGGUUACCUAUGGACCUAUGAGUUCCUCUAUAUCAGGAACCUCACGCAAUCCAUUCUGGUGGAUAGAGAAAAUCAGAGAGCGGCCACACUGAUUUUGCAGAAUGAACAAAAUGAGACCAGGAAUGGGAGCUGAAUCCAAGACCUCAGGACUGCAAAUUCCUAGUUCAGUUGGCAAGUGAGAAGAGCCAGGAGGGAGGGUGAGGAGCUUGCCCAGGACUACAUAGUUUCCGGUGACCGAGCUGAAUUCACACAACCAGUUCUGGCGUUCUUGCUUUUCACGAUACAGACGUUCUUCCUAUCUGAAUGCUUGCUGCAAUUAUGGAAAGUGAACGGAAACAAACCAUUUAACAAUGUCUAAUGUGGCAUCUAAGUGAGAUGAAGCUGAUACAGAGGAAAAACAGUUCCGUUUAUGAGUUCUUAUAAUUGUGCAAAAAACAAAACCCAAAACCAAACCCAACAAGGACAAUGACAGCUGUGCCGUGCCUUGCUGUACUACCAACCCUAGCUUUCCCGAAUCAUCUGGGUGAUUUUUAACCUCUCUUCCUGCAGAUGCUUGCUACCUUGUGGAGACUGCCAAGUGCCGAGUACUGAGUGAGCAGCCCAAUUGCUUAUGGAAGGCGUGUUUGCGGAACACAUGAUCAUUUGCAUAUGAUUACACCACAUAGAGAGAGCAAGUUUCCUCCUUCCCACCAGGACACUUCCUGGGCUGUCUCCUUACUUCCUGCUCUUCUUAGCCCUGUUUGCUUCCUGCCCUUCAGGGGUCAGGCUGCUUCCUUUCAGCUGAGCAACUCCCAACUAUUAAUUUUUGCUAUGUGCUCUUUAUACAUAAUAUUAAGCUAUGAGAGAAAACAAAAACAGAAAUAAAUAUCCCAAAAGAGUCAUAAAGAGAAAGAGGAUAUGGAGAAAGGGAGCACACUCUCUCUGUGCUGUGUUGGAGGCCGUGGACCUGGAAGAUUCAUUCAAGAAUGGAAAACUAGGUUUUAAAAGAAAUUUGAUGACAAUGUAGGACACGAGGGAGGGGAGCAGUGAGAAUGCUGAAGAGAUGUGAUAAGGACAGGUAGUGUGGGUCGAGAACUGGUAGAUUUUUAGUUUGAGAAGGGAUUAUUGGGAAGAGUGCAGUGGGGUCAGCAAUGAUGACGGUCUCCUGGUAACUGACAAGCUGUCAUAUGGAGAAGGCAUUUAAAGAGAUUUGAUGUGAUUCCAGGAUGCUUAUCAAGAACUCAUCAAAGGGACUUGUCACGGUCUCAUUUCACUGUCAAGAUCCUAGCAUGAGAUGGAAAUAGCUUUCUUUCGCUAUUAGAAACGGAAACAUAACCCAAGUAAAUCUAGUUAUAAGAUGACAUGAAAUAAACUAAUAACAUAGUGAGU